rnacentral:tRNA from 1 species
GGUGGCUCAGUGGUAGAGCACAGGCCUUGUAUGCCUGAGGCCCUGGGUUCGAUUCCUCAGCACCA